UUAUGUGGCCUUUUUAUUGGGUUUAACGAUGGAGUACAAUGUGUUCAUUUGAUGUUUUUAGCUGAGAUUGUGAUCAAUUUCAUUUUGUGGAUUUUCAGGUUUUGCAAGAUGAUAGUAGUGUAUGAGAGCGUCAAGAGGAGGCUGUGAGUAGAAGGCGGUUCUUUGCAGGCUAGACAAGCAAAAGUUCCCUCUUUGGACUUGCUCCACUUGAAGCAGUGCUAUUUAAUAUUGAUAGAACUCCAUGUGAUUUAGAUCCCAUUCAUUUCAAUGCCUUCCACAAAAUGCUUCCAUAGUUUGUGCAAGAUGUUAACAAUGUACAAGAGAAUCCAGAAGAGGCUAUGAGUAGAAGGAGGUUCUUUGCAGGUAUUGUGCUACAAAUUUCAAGUGGAACCAAGUGUUAUUCUAUUGAGUUGUAGGUAUUCUGCUACAAAUUUCAAGUGGAACCAAGUGUUAUUCUACUAAGAUUUGUAGGUGUUGUGACAUAAAUGGCAAUACAGUUUAUUUUUGUACU